AGUGAACGCUGGCGGUAGGCCUAACACAUGCAAGUCGAACGGCAGCACAGUAAGAGCUUGCUCUUACGGGUGGCGAGUGGCGGACGGGUGAGGAAUACAUCGGAAUCUACUUUUUCGUGGGGGAUAACGUAGGGAAACUUACGCUAAUACCGCAUACGACCUACGGGUGAAAGCAGGGGAUCUUCGGACCUUGCGCGAUUGAAUGAGCCGAUGUCGGAUUAGCUAGUUGGCGGGGUAAAGGCCCACCAAGGCGACGAUCCGUAGCUGGCCUGAGAGGAUGAUCAGCCACACUGGAACUGAGACACGGUCCAGACUCCUACGGGUGGCAGCAGUGGGGAAUAUUGGACAAUGGGCGCAAGCCUGAUCCAGCCAUACCGCGUGGGUGAAGAAGGCCUUCGGGUUGUAAAGCCCUUUUGUUGGGAAAGAAAAGCAGCAGGUUAAUACCCCGCUGUUCUGACGGUACCCAAAGAAUAAGCACCGGCUAACUUCGUG
rnacentral:rRNA from 1 species